GUCUUUUUGAUUAUGAUAUAAGAUUUGGCCUGCCCGUUGAUGAAUAUUAAAUGGCCGCGGUAUUUUGACCGUGCAAAGGUAGCAUAAUAAUUAGUUUUUUAAUUGAAAGCUGGAAUGAAUGGUUGGACGAGAAAAUUACUGUCUCUAAUUUAUUUUAUAUAAAAUUUUAUUUUUAAGUAAAAAAGCUUAAAUUUAUUUGAGGGACGAGAAGACCCUAUAGAGUUUUAUAAAUUUAAUUUAAUGUAAUUUUAAGAAUUAAAUUUUCUUUGUUUUAAAUUUAUUUUGUUGGGGUGAUGAAAAGAUUUAAUUAACUCUUUUUUUAUUUAAACAUAAAUUUAUGAUAAAUUGAUCCAUUUUUUAUGAUUAUAAGAAUAAAUUACCUUAGGGAUAACAGCGUAAUCUUUUUAGAGAGUUCUUAUCGAAAUGAAGGGUUGCGACCUCGAUGUUGGAUUAAAGUUAAUUUUUGGUGUAGAAGCUGAAAAAUUAAGUCUGUUCGACUUUUGAAACUUUACAUGAUCUGAGUUUAAACCGGUGUGAGCCAGGUUGGUUUCUAUCUUUAAUAGGAAAUAAUGUUUUAGUACGAAAGGACCAAAUAUUUAAUAUAUUUAUUUAUAUAGGAAUUUUAUUAAUGUUACUUUGGCAGAUUAGUGCGUUAGAUUUAGAAUCUUUUUAUGUAAGGUUUUACAGGUAAUAUUUGUUUAUAUUUGAUGUUAUUUUAUUAUUUUUGGGUAUGUUAAUUUUGAUUGUUUGUGUUUUAGUUGGGGUUGCAUUUUUGACUUUAUUGGAACGUAAAGUUUUAGGAU
rnacentral:rRNA from 1 species